UACAGAGGUCUCAAGCGUUGUUCGGAUUCAUUGGGCGUAAAGGGUGCGUAGGCGGCGCGGUAAGUCGGGUGUGAAAUCUCGGAGCUUAACUCCGAAACUGCAUUCGAUACUGUCGUGCUUGAGGACUGGAGAGGAGACUGGAAUUUACGGUGUAGCGGUGAAAUGCGUAGAUAUCGUAAGGAAGACCAGUGGCGAAGGCGGGGUCUCUGGACAGUUCCUGACGCUGAGGCACGAAGGCCAGGGGAGCAAACGGG
rnacentral:rRNA from 1 species